GCGGGUGUAGCUCAGUGGUAGAGCCCCUGCCUUCCAAGCAGGCUGCGUGGGUUCGAUUCCCAUCACCCGCU
rnacentral:tRNA from 1 species